rnacentral:rRNA from 1 species
GAUGAACGCUGGCGGCGUGCCUAAUACAUGCAAGUCGAGCGAACAGACGAGGAGCUUGCUCCUCUGACGUUAGCGGCGGACGGGUGAGUAACACGUGGAUAACCUACCUAUAAGACUGGGAUAACUUCGGGAAACCGGAGCUAAUACCGGAUAAUAUAUUGAACCGCAUGGUUCAAUGGUGAAAGACGGUUUUGCUGUCGCUUAUAGAUGGAUCCGCGCCGCAUUAGCUAGUUGGUAAGGUAACGGCUUACCAAGGCAACGAUGCGUAGCCGACCUGAGAGGGUGAUCGGCCACACUGGAACUGAGACACGGUCCAGACUCCUACGGGAGGCAGCAGUAGGGAAUCUUCCGCAAUGGGCGAAAGCCUGACGGAGCAACGCCGCGUGAGUGAUGAAGGUCUUCGGAUCGUAAAACUCUGUUAUUAGGGAAGAACAAAUGUGCAAGUAACUAUGCACGUCUUGACGGUACCUAAUCAGAAAGCCACGGCUAACUACGUG